UACAGAGGGUGCAAGCGUUGUUCGGAAUUAUUGGGCGUAAAGCGCGUGUAGGCGGCUUUGCAAGUCGGGUGUGAAAGCCCUCAGCUCAACUGAGGAAGUGCGCCCGAAACUGCAGAGCUUGAGUACCGGAGAGGAUGGCGGAAUUCCCCAAGUAGAGGUGAAAUUCGUAGAUAUGGGGAGGAACACCGGUGGCGAAGGCGGCACUCUGGGCAUUUCCUGACGCUGAGGUGCGAAAGCGUGGGGAGCAAACAGG
rnacentral:rRNA from 1 species